GGAUAUCUGGUAAUUCUGACACCAACGUUCUAAAUGUAAUUCAUCAGAAUGAAUCUACCUUGUGCCUUAAGGACUUGUUACUAUGAAUUAACACCAACAUACCACAACUUAACCAAGGAUGACUGGGUAAAACAGGAAGCUCAAGACUGUUGGUUUUGUGGUGGCGCCAGGAUGCACAGACACUGAGUCAUUAAGGCCACCCAGAAACACUUGCCCACUCAUUCAUAGGGAGAGGCUAAUUGUGGAAGGAUGCUAGGAAUCCAAAAAUGAUAAAGAUACAGUCGAUGAGAUUUCAUUUAGUGCGUUGAUAUAUUUUCAAAAUGUACAUGCAUACCCUUCCAGCUGUUUUGCCCAGGCCCUGCAGAUCAGCAGAGACCACCAGGUGUUCAACUUGUAUAUCAAAGCAAAGAGCCUUUAUUCAAGCUGGAGUUCGGACCUCUCCAAUCUCUCCUAUGCAGUCGAUGGGUGUGGAAGGCCCCGUGUCAGUAAAGCCUUGUCUAUUUAUUACAAUUUCAGCAGGGUAAGAGGCUUUCCAAUUUGGUAGUUACAUGAUUGGUUGACAUUUGAAGGUUACACCUUGGUGCAUUUCUGUUGGCUAGUAAUGAUUUCAAUUUGGGAUGAACACUAGCGGCUUGCUUACGCAAUCUAUUUUGAGACAUAGAAUGGAAUAUUAGGUACGUUACCCCUAAGAGCUGAUCGGCUGUUCCUAGUGGUAGAGUAGCUGUUUGUUAGAGGAGUUGUGGCAGUUGCUAGGUGUGUCAUGGUUCCUGGAACAAGUUGUGUGUGUGUGUGUGUUUUCCUUCUCGUAACUGAGUUCACACUAAGGACUAGCUUAACAUAAGAUGGAGUCUGAAUGUUAGGCUGGGCCCUUUACAACUUUUAUUUUUUGAGUGGCCAUUGAGUGGCAAACAAUACAUAUAAAGAAACGGAAAUUGUUGAGGUCUUGGAAUCACUGCACAAACCGCUCAGGCACCAAUCUCAGUCAAACAGGGCUGGUUUAUUGAAAGCGCAUGCCAAGACUGGUUGAUCAGGGAGGCAGCAUAGACUCAGGAACUAGAAUGUUCCUCAGGGCCAGUUUAUAAAGGCAAAAAACAGGUACAGGAAGGACUGCCUGGAGGUCAUCUCUGACUCAAGCCAGCUAGACAGAAUAGUUCUAACUGAUGUUUAUUCUGAUUGAUCCUAAGUGGAUUUUAUGGUUGUGGAAUUUCUUAAGAUUAAUAAAGCUCAGAACCUACAAAACAUAACGGAGUGGUCAGCAUGAUCCUGCUCUGAAUCAAGUUAUUUUUCUGCACCAAUAACAAUAUAAAACUGAGAUAUCAAAUCUUUUAAAUUCAGACUCCAUUUUAGAGACCCUGACCUAAGUUUGAAUUUAGGUAAACUAACAGGCUGGUACCUAGCAUUAGUUUCCAAGUCUCCCCGCUCCCCAGCCCCAAAACUGUAGCCUAGCUCCAGUCUCUAGGCUAAUCCCCAACAAGACCAGCGUCUCCAGGUUGCACCCUGAACAAACCUGUACCCCCAGGUUACAAGCUGAUCUCUUGCCUGACAACCACCAAUGCAGAGGGGAGCAGAAAUUAAGUUUAUGAUAUGACUCCCAGCACCAGCCGAUUAUGUUAAAGGCCACAGUAGCUCUCCAAUUAGAUGUACUCCCUGCUUGCUGCUUACUAUAAAGCCUUGCCCUGAUAGACAUUCAGGGCUCCCUGACCACCAAAACCAUCCCUCGAGAGGGUGGUAUGUUGGGGGUGGGGGCGAGCUAGCUCAAAUAGAAUAAAGACUCUACUGUGAGUUACAUCAGAUUGACUCCCAUCUGUGUUUUUGGGGAUCACUAACAUUUCCCUGGCAGUACAAAAUGACUGGCAAACAUGGAACAAAAUGCCUACAGCUAUACUGGGGGAGCAGGCUUCAACAGGUCUGUGAAGGGCCCAGCUUAACAUUAUAAACUCAAUUUUGCUUUCAGAUCCAUUUUGUGAUUAGCUUGCCCCCUGAGUGAACUCAGCUACUGGAAAACCCCCAACUUUUUCUAAGAACCAUGUUGCCCUGGCAACCAUCAUAAUUCCCCUGAGCAAAUAGCCACUCUACCUCUAGCAUCAACCAAUCAGUACCUAAUGUCUUAAAGUAGAUUGAUUAAGCUAGUGACCAUUGUUCAUACCAAGCCAAAAUCAUUACUAGCCAAUAGAAGUGUGCCAAGAAAAUGUCAACCAAUCAUAUAACUGCCAAGUUGGAAAGUCCCUCAGCCUGGUAUAGCAACCAUGAUAAAUGGGCAAGGCUUGUACCAGCACAGCACCUUCCACACUUUCCACUGUGCUGGAGAGCUGGGAAGGUCCAAGCCCAAGCUUGAAUAAAGACUCUCUGCUUUUGCAUCUGAGUUGGACUCCUAGUGGGCCCUGGUGGUCUGUGGGAACCUCGUGAUCUGGGCAUAACAGACUGUCUUUUUGAAACACUUUGGUCGUGGCACUCGUGUCUCUGGUUGAUCAAAUCAUUUCUAGAAUCCUGCCUUUCAAGUUUGUUUGCUUAUUUAUAGUAGUUCUUUGAGUGUUUCCAGUUUCUUUCCUGUUUUGCUUGUAGUCACUGUUAUAGGAUAUUUGAUCACACUGUGAACCCCAGGAUUGUGUUAUUUAUC
rnacentral:lncRNA from 1 species